GUGGUGCCGGCGGGAAGCCGUGUCGAGCCGUGCCGUGCGCGGCCCACGGUGCCGGCAUGGUGUUGCAGGAGCCCGUCGGGGCACCGAGUCUGUCGACUGCAGCGGGAGGGGUCGGUGAUGCCGUCGCCGAGGUACGGCUGUCCCGGCUUCGCUGGGUCGUGCUGCUGCUCUUCAGCAGCUACUCCCUGUGCAACGCCUUCCAGUGGAUCCAGUACGGCAGCAUCAGCAACGUCUUCGUGAACUUCUACGACGUGAGCACCUUCGCCAUCGACUGGCUUUCCAUGAGCUACAUGCUCAUCUAUAUCCCCCUGCUCUUCCCCGUCGCCUGGCUGCUGGACAAGAGGGGCCUGCGCAUGAUCGCCCUGGCUGGCUCGGCUCUCAAUGCCAUGGGUGCCUGGGUGAAGCUGGGCAGCCUGAAGCCGCACCUCUUCCCCGUCACUGUCCUGGGACAGGUCAUCUGUGGCCUGGCGCAGGUCUUCAUCCUGGGCAUGCCCUCACGCAUCGCCUCGGUCUGGUUUGGCUCCCACGAGGUCUCCACCGCCUGCUCCAUUGCCGUCUUUGGGAACCAGCUUGGCAUUGCUGCAGGCUUUCUGAUCCCUCCAGUUCUGAUUCCUAAUGUGAAUGAUGUGGAGAAGCUGGCCCACCACAUCAGCAUCAUGUUCUUCAUGACUGCAGGUGUGGCAUCAGCCCUGUUCAUCCUGGUCAUCAUAGUCUUCAAGGAGAAGCCCCCGAACCCUCCAAGCCAAGCUCAGGCCUCGAUCCAAUCAAGACCGGCUGCAGAGUAUUCCUACAUGCGAUCAAUCCUCCGCCUGCUCCGCAAUGCCAACUUUUUGCUGCUUAUGGUCACUUAUGGUCUGAAUGUAGGUUGUUUCUACGCCUUGUCCACUCUGCUGAACCGCAUGGUGAUCCAUCACUACCCAGGGGAGGAGGUGAAUGCUGGCAGGAUUGGACUCACCAUUAUACUGUCGGGGAUGGUUGGGGCUCUGAUCGCCGGCAUCUGGUUGGACAAAACCAAAACCUACAAGCAAACAACACUAGCUGUCUAUCUCAUGUCUCUGGUGGGAAUGAUAGUCUAUACCUUCACUCUGAGCCUGGGCCACCUCUGGGUGGUCUUUGUGACUGCUGGAUUGCUGGGGCUUUUUAUGACGGCAUACCUUCCCCUGGGCUUUGAGUUUGCUGCAGAGUUGACAUACCCAGAAUCAGAAGGAACAUCAUCAGGGCUCCUCAAUGUCUCAGCACAGAUUUUUGGUAUUGCCUUCACCAUUGGCCAAGGGCAAAUCAUGGAUCACUUUGGGACAAUGGCAGGAAACCUCUUGCUUUGUUCUGUCCUGUUCCUGGGGACCGUUAUGACAGUUUUCAUUAAGGCUGAUCUCCGAAGACAACAGGCUAAUUUGGAACAUGAACAGACAAUUGUGUAAGAACCUACUCAAAAUGAGACUGUUUCAUAUCUCUUGCUUCCACGCUUCCUGGAUUUCUCUUGAACUGCACUGGGGAUGUGAACCUCUUUCCUGUGCACCCCUGAUUUCUGCGUCAGAUGUCAGUCUUGCUCUACAAAAGUGUUGCCAGAAGCCUACGCUAAUCCCAUAGUCCUUGAGGAAUCACAGCUGUGAAAUUUAGGGGUGGCAAAGCUGAGAGAUACAGCCUCCCUCAUUCCCAUCUUUUCUACCUGCAUCAUCCUUCUGUGACAUGCACCCCAUGGGAAGGGGGCAGCCUCAGGACAGGAGCCCUACGAACUGCUUGUGGAGAGUGUCAAUGAGCAAAACAAGAGGGGGGUUGUUUUCAUGAGUUUUCAUUGCAUCUUGCUGUUUUGGUGUUUGGGAGGAAAAGUUGGGGAAAUCUGCUGUGUCCCCCCAGUCCCACCAUGUAUCCUUGGAAAAAUGAUGUGCUGAAAAAAGCCAUGGUACCAGGCUAACCCUGAGCAUGAAGGUGGCACCUUGCACUUAGCUGUGACAUGAAAGGCAGCCACACCUACUUUGUGAGCAGCCCUGGAAGAGCUGGCUCUAGGGAAUUAGAGCAACCUAGGGAUUGCUCUGCUCUGUUUCCCAUGAUGCUCUAUGUUGCACAGGUAGUAGUAGAGGCCUCAGUACAUUACCAGCAAGUGCAAAGCAGGGCACCAGCUGCUGCCAGCUCUUCUUUUACUAUUUGGCUUUUCUAGAUUAAGCACUCUUAAUCUGGAUAAACUUCUGCUCAGAAUUCACUGGGGUUGCCCUGAUGUUCAUACAUAUUAGGAGCAAUUAAGAGAUUGUCAAUAUGCCUCCUUCUAGCUCGAGGCAAGGACUAGUUCUGCAAUCUAAAUCUAGCUUAUCACUACAUUAGCACAAAAGUGAGUCAAACCAGUUUCCCUGGGCUGAGGACUUUGUCUUCCUCCUUAACAAGAAAGUGCCUUUUACAUGUUUCAACAUCACAUACAAACUUUUUGUGAAGUGUUAUACUGAGAAAACCAGCCAAGGCUGUGUUGCUCUUCAGAGCCAAAGAGAGGGGUAUGAUGGAAAUCCAACUUUGCGCCAGUGUGGAAGCUUCCCACUUCAUAAUAGAAAACAGGAAAAGGUACCUACUUGCCCACAUUUGUGACUUAUAGACACUGCCCAUCUAUAUGCUGUUUAUUUUCUAAACGCAACUGUAGAUCCUUUUAUCACUUCUCCAUCCUUUCCAGCAUCCCUCCCCUGAUGGAGACAUCAAGUGUCCUUAUACAUGCAAUUACUUAUGUUUUAUUUGAAGCAGGGUACAAAAGCUGUACUGAGGUGGAAUGGUUAAAAAUACUCCUCUCUGACAAACUAUUUUUUGACAAAACAUUUUUUUUGGUGAAAUUUUAAUCUUUUUUUUUUUUUUUUGAUACAUUAUAUUUUGAUACAGACUGUCUUAAGUUCAUGAAGUUCUUAAACAACAUUCUCAGGCACAUGGUGUGAUUCUUAAGGGUCCUGUGCAGGGCCAGGAGUUGGACUGUGGUCCUGAUAAAUUCCUUCUAAUUCAGCAUAUUCUGUAACUGAAGUCCUAUCUUUGAUAGUUUGGGAUUGAGGAUGAGGGUUUAAAAUGAUUUUCAAGAGAAAUGUCAAUGUAAAAUAUUAACAUAUUUAAUAUUUUAACUAUUUAAUAAAUUAGUUUUAAAAAAUAA